rnacentral:rRNA from 1 species
UACGUAGGGUGCAAGCGUUAAUCGGAAUUACUGGGCGUAAAGCGUGCGCAGGCGGUUGUGCAAGACAGAUGUGAAAUCCCCGGGCUUAACCUGGGAACUGCAUUUGUGACUGCAUAGCUAGAGUACGGUAGAGGGGGAUGGAAUUCCGCGUGUAGCAGUGAAAUGCGUAGAUAUGCGGAGGAACACCGAUGGCGAAGGCAAUCCCCUGGACCUGUACUGACGCUCAUGCACGAAAGCGUGGGGAGCAAACAGG